rnacentral:rRNA from 1 species
AAGUAAGUGCAGGGCGAGCCUGACCGCCCCCCCGUGAGUGAGAGGCCUUCGGGUUGAAAGCUCUUUCGAAGGGAAGAAAAAUUACGCUCUAACAUAGCGUGACGAUGACGGUACCUUGAUAAGAAGCACCGGCUAACUACGUGCCAGCAGCCGCGGUAAUACGUAGGGUGCGAGCGUUAAUCGGAAUUACUGGGCGUAAAGCGUGCGCAGGCGGUUUUGUAAGUCAGAUGUGAAAUCCCCGAGCUCAACUUGGGAACUGCGUUUGAAACUACAAGACUAGAAUAGGUCAGAGGGGGGUAGAAUUCCACGUGUAGCAGUGAGAGGGCGUAGAGAUGUGGAGGAAUAUCAAUGGCGAAGGCAGCCCCCUGGGAUAAUAUUGACGCUCAUGCACGAAAG